rnacentral:rRNA from 1 species
UACGGGGGGGGGCAAGCGUUGUCCGGAAUUACUGGGCGUAAAGGGCGCGUAGGCGGUUCGCUAAGUUGAAUGUGAAAACUCUGGGCUUAACCCAGAGCCUGCAUUCAAUACUGGCGGGCUAGAGUUCUGGAGGGGAUAGCGGAAUUCCUGGUGUAGCGGUGAAAUGCGUAGAUAUCAGGAGGAACACCGGUGGCGAAGGCGGCUAUCUGGACAGAGUCUGACGCUGAUGCGCGAAAGCUAGGGGAGCAAACAGG